ensembl:misc_RNA
GAGCCAGAUGGAAACUAAAGCCCUCUGUUUAUGACUGAACAGGUACACCACAAACAGCAGUGCAAAUGUUCCACCCCACUGCCUCCCACACACCCAGACUGCCCCAAGCCCCAUCUGGAAGGACCAGUUUCUAGCAGGGGGGAUGAUGGGUCCAUUUCUAUGCUUAUUGAACCUGGU